AUAAGGCGGCCCCUCUGGGCAGAUAAGUAGAACAAGUUUCCCUUCUUCUGGGCUGCAUUUCGGUGCCAGGACACAUGGCUUGAUGAGGGGAACGUGGACUGCAUUUCAGCUCCCUUUUGCUCUUUUAGCUGGGAGCCCUUGGACAGGGCUCUGUGCUGGCCCUUUAGGGUCCUCAGGAUUCCACGAAAAGGGAUGGAGUUGCCUGAGUGGCACUGAAUGGUCUAGAAUGAGAAGUACGACCCUGGGAUUGGUGGGGUCCCUGGCUCCCCGGCCCUGCUGGGUUUUGUUAACUGUCUUACACAGCUUCCAUUCUCUAAAGGUAUGUGAGUGGUGCAAAAGGUUGUAAUAAAGGACUGCGUUUAUAGGAACCCCUGUCCCUACAUAGCACAUUGCUGGGGCUUGUUCAGAAUAACCCUAAAUGCUGGAGUCUGGGAUUUGCCCUAACACAGAAACCCAUUUACUUCUCAGUUGUCAUUCAGACAAUUAUUCCCAGUAGAACUUUGCUUUCUGAAGCAUUAGGCUUGGAGUAACACAUUUCUCUCUUUGCAGCUCAGCUUCUGGGCAGUUAUCCUUCAGGGAAGCCAGCAGGUUGAAUCACAAGAGUCACACAGGUUUCUAUAGCAGUAGUGUGAUGUAAUACACAGAGAAUAAUAUGGCCUAGCUGUAGAGCUGGUUAAAGACAGCUUUGAGCCAAUAGAAAAUAAAAACUUCUUUGUGCACAGUGCCUUACAGUUCACUAUAUGGACCUGGGGUUCUGAAAAAAAAGAAACACACUCAAACGCAUGCUCACACAUUCACUCACACUUACACAUUAAAUCUGUAACGCAUAUAAGCAUUCUCACACAUUCACUUACACAAACACUCACGUGCUGACCCAUUCACGCACAAAUAUAUUUACACAUGCUCUUAACAUUUUCCCAUCAACAUGUUCACACACGUGGACAUACAAACACAUUUUUCACACAGGAACAUGCUGGGGCAUUCACACGUAGCCUCAUACACUCGCAUUCAAUCACACGUGAACAUGCUCUCACACGGACGUACCUGCAUAUCUACUGAAACAAAUGUGCUAAAACGCAUACACACUCACAGAUCACUGACACGUGAACAGGUUCACACGUUCACACAAAUGAACAUGUUCACAUGUACGUGCAUAUUAACUCAGUCACACACAAGAACGUGCUCACACCCUGACAGACACAAUAUCAUCCACUCACAAACUCAUAGUCACUCGCACACAGACAUGCUCACAUACACUCAUACUCACACAUCCACUCACACACAUGAACACACUGAUGCUGUCUCACACACAUAAAGUCAUACAUUCAUUCACAAUUGCACGUGAACAUACACCUAUCGACUCACAGUCAUUCCCACACGAACACACUCACGCAUUCAGUCACCCAUAGGAGCACAUUCUCACAUUCCUUCACACGAAUGAGCACACUCACAUUAACAUGCGUAUAUGCGCAGACAUGCUCACACAUUCACUCACACGUAGAUGCACUCAUGUCCAAUCACAGGACACUCACACAGUCAUGCAAACUAAGAUGUUAACAUUGUCACCAACGUGAACGUGUUCUCACACACAAAACUGCUCCUCCAUUUACUCACACACGAACAUGUUCAUAUGUUAAUCCUCACAUGAAUACAGUCACAUAGUCACAUUCAUGAAUGUAGACAUAUUAAAACACAUUUCAGUACAAUCACACAGAUACUGAUAUGUUCAUUCACACCGAUACCCAUAUUCACACAUUCACUGAAUGAACAUAUUCACACUUUAACAUACUCAAACACAGAAAAACCUUACACACUUAUUGACACAAAGGAAAAUGUUCACAUAAAUGCACAUCCUUAUAUUCGAUCACACACACAAAGCUGCUCAGACACACAUGAGCACAAGAAGACAUUAACAUGAUCACACAAACAUAUUGACAUAUUCACUCACAUGAACUUGCUCACAGAUUAAUUCGCAUGUACAGACACACCCCACAUACACUUACAACUUCACUUAAAAUUAUACAUCGUGCUCACAUACAUAAACUUGCUUACACAUUCAGUUGCACACAGGAAAAAUAAUUAUACACCAAUACCUUCACACACACCAGCUUGUUCAUACAUUAAUUAGUACAUGUGAACAUGCUCCCUUACAUGCACAUGCUCACACACCUAGAUAUGAAUGAACACACAAAUUCAUUUAAACACACACAAAAACUUUCACACUUGCACAUUAACAUGCCCAAAACACAAAUGUUUUCAAACUUUCAUUUACAUACGUUCAUGCUCAAACACACAAGUAUACUCAGACAUUCACCCACACAUGAACAUACUUAAACAUUAACAUUCCCAGACACACAAACGUGCUCACAUUAUCUCACUAAGAAGUGGACACUCCCACUUUCACUCACGUUCACACAUAAACACACACACACGUUCUCAUGGACUUACAUACGGACAUGACUGCACACUCACACACUCACUCCCUACCUCCACUCACACACAUUCACACAUGGACAUGCUUUCACAUUUAUUUAAAAAAUAACAUGCACACACACACACAUCACUCAUGCAUGAACAAGUUCACACACAUGAACACGUUCACAUAUUCACACAGCCUACGUGGUCAUAAACACACAUGCUCUCACGUUUAUUUAAAAAACAGCAUUCAUGCACACCCCAAAAAUACUCAUGCACAGACAUGGACACGAUCACACUUUCACAUAUAGACAGGAUCAUAUUCACUCACACAAUCUCUCACACGCAAACUCACAUACACUCACACACUCACAGUUGCACAUAGACAUGCUCACAUUAUCACUUCCACACAAAUGAACUCACUUUUAAUCACAAACAUAAUCGCAUUGACUCACAGAAAACACACACAUGAACAUGCCCCUACAGAAAAGUAUGUUUACAUAUUCAUUAAUGCACACAUGUUCCUGUAUUCACUUACACUUGCAUUUUAAUAAUAUUCACCCGUAUAUAUGUGUGUGUGUAUAUAUAUAUAAAUAUAUUUAUAUGCUCCUGCAUUUACUGACAUAAACAUUUUUGCACAUUUACUCAGACACAAAUGUACAAAAAGACAAAUACAAAGCAUGCAUUCACUCACGUUCAUGAACAUACCUGAUAUGCUUCCACAUUCAUUCAAACACGGGAACAUGAUCACAUGUAUAUACUUACACAGUCAUUUGCACACAAACAUGAACAUGUUCACAUAUGCACACAGUGAACCUGCUCAUAAAGUCACAGGUACCCUCAUUAACACAGUCAUGUUCAUGCAUCUGAUCAACAUUCACACAUACACAUACACUCAUGCAUUGACUCAGAAAUAGAUGCACUCAUUAACAAGCUCACAAAAAUGAAUACGGUUACACAUUCACUCACAGAUGAACAUGCUACCGUCACGCACGUACCUACAAAUUCGCUCAUACACGUGAACACACAGAAACACAAACACACAUUACCACACUGACGUAUGAACAGGCUCCAUUCACUCUUACAGACAUGAUCACAUACAUCCACAAGUUACACAUUCACUCAUAUGAACAUGCUCACAGACUUACUCCCAUUCCUAGAUAGACUGACACAUGCACACAUUCGUUCCAAUACAAAUAUACUCAAUUUAACAUGGUUAUGCACUCAUUCACCCACCUGAAUAUGCCUCACGUAUACUGUGUCACUCAUACAUUUACUUACGUGCGUCAGCCUACUCAUCCUUAAGAUGUUCACACCCUCACAUGCACAAACACUCAGUCGCACACACAAACACGGUUGCAAAUUCCUUCACCCACAUAGACAUCCUUACAUAUAAUCAUUUGCACACACACAUGAACAUGCUCACAUAUACAAGUGUGAUCACUAUUCACUCACAUCCACAGCAUAUUCUUCACAUGAACAAAUUCACUGAGAUAUAAGAAAUGCUCACAUACUUGCACACAGCCAAAAAUUCUCUAACAUUGGAGCAUAUUCACUGACUCACGAGCAUACUCACAAAUUUACUCAUGUGCAUAGACACACUCAUAUAUGAUCAUACCCACAUUCACUCACACAAAAUCCUCACAUGUCCACUAACCUGUGAACAUGUUUACAAAUUCAUUCACAUACAGACAUUCAUAUAUGCUGACAAGAGUACACUCAGUUUCACUUAUACGUGCACAGGAACAUGCUCACAAACAGCAACACUUUGAUGCAGUCACUUGAACACAGAUUUUCUCCAGUCAUCACAAAGCUCACACCUUCACACACAGAUACACUCAAACUCACAAGCAUAUUCUCAUGUAUUCAUGAACAUGCACUCACACAUUAACAAGCUUACACAAAUGAACAGUUACACGUUCACUCACUCAUGAAAACGUGCUUACACAUGCAUUCCCUCAAACUUGCUCCCACAUUCACUCACACACACUCAUAUAUGCUCACAGUUGCGUACUCACAUUUCCCCACACACAGCACAUUGACAAACAGCAUCAUACUCAUACUCUGACAAGUGCAUAUGCUCACACUUACCAUGAAGUUCACACAUUUUACUCACACACAUAGGGAUGCUCAGGUAUACCCCCCCCACACACCUGCACAUUAACUCACAGAAAUCUACUCCACUUUCACAUGCUCACAAACACACACUCACACACAGAGACACACACGCACGAGUAUGCUAACAUCCAUGCACAUGCUCACGAAUUCACUCAUACAUAUGAAAAGUCCCAUUUACUUCAACACACAAACUCAUAUUUUAAAAGGCUCCCACGUUCGCUCUCACACCUGUGCUUAUAUACAUGCGCAAGGUCCCAUUCACUUGCACACAUGCUCACACACUCCUUUGCUUACAAUAACUGCUCACAUUUCACUAGAAUGUGCUGACACAUUGAGUCACAGUCACUUACAUACUUACACUCAUUCCCUCACAUACAGAGCUACAUGCUCCCAACUAGGAAUGUGCUCACCCUCACCAAGAGCCUCACACAUUCACUCACAUACACUCACACAUUCAUUCAUUCAAAUACACUAAUGUAGUUGACCCUUGAACGACACAGGGGUUAGGGGUGCUGACCCUCCACGUGCAGUUGAAUACGUAUAACGUAUAGUCCGCCCUGUGUACAUGAGGUUCCUCCGAAUCCAGGGUUCUGCAUCUGCCGAUUCAACUAAUCGCAUAUCGUGUAGUACGGUAGUAUUUGCCAUUGAAAACAUCUGCAUAUACGUGGAUCUGCGCUAUUCAAUCCCCUGUUGUUUAAGGGUCAGAUGUGUUUCUAAAAUGUCAAACGGGAAUUCCCUGGCGGUGUAGUGGUUAGGACUCAGCACUUUCACUGCCGUGGUCUGGGGUCAGUCCCUGGACGGGGAACUGACAUCCUGCAAGCCGUGCAGCAUGGCCCCCCCCAAAAGAAUAUCAGGCAAAUAAACAUGCUUACAUUUUCACUCACACCCACAAACAUGCUCAUAUCCAUGCACAUGGUCACCUGUUCUCUCAUGCAUAUGAAGAUGCACAAACAUUUACUUAAUCACACAAAUUCCUAUGAACACACUCAUACUGUGCUUGAAAAGGCUCACCCAUUCAUUCUCCAACACGGACAUUGUUGUGUAAAGGAGCCAAAGUUGGCCUCUCUUUCCUUCUGCACAGCAGGCUGGAACCCAUUAGCUCAAAAGCCCGGCCACACCAAACUCAAUUUUUACACAUUCAUUUGCUUUGAAUAUAUUCCAAGUAAGUAGAUUUUAAUCCAUUCAGAGCUUGCGUGCUUUGUAUGCCAUGCGAAACUGCAGCCAACACCUGUUAGCUAUAGAUAAGAUAAAGCCUGUAGUUAUAAAAGACCCCACAGCACUGCUGCCCUCUGGUACUCUCCGACCCAGAGGCUUCCCAUCAUGCUCCUGAGUGGUGUCACCUAAACACACUAGUCCUCUCUCUGAACCUGCUCUUCCCUGGCAUUUCCCUUGCUUUUCCUUCCUGAGUGGUACUCCCACACAGUAGCCUCUGGAAGUUCUCCUGUUAUUAAGACACUUCCCGUGCAUGCAAAGCUGUGAAAGCCUCCUCCGGAUAAAGGUCAUCUUGUGCUACUGCCACUUUCUGGUGAUACUUUAGUCUUUGAUCAGCCCCUAAAUCCCUCGCACUCAUUACUCGUGUUGAUGAGGAAAGUGGAGGAUUUGGGUGAUAAUCAAGAAAUCAAUAUAGGGUCCACCCAGUCAGGAGGAGUAUCCAUUGGCAAAACAAUCCUGGACAGUCUUAAGUGGUUGGGACUCAAAAUGUGGAACUCCCCCAUGUCAGUUUGGCAUGGCAUUGCUCUGUGCUGUAUUACACUUUAUCUGUAUUUAUGGUGUCUCCCUGUGUGUCAUUAGCCUGGUCAAGCAGCAGCAGCAGUAUUUGAGCCAACCCAUGCCAUUGUAACUGAGUUUUGGGGAUCAGAGGCACUGGGCUCCCCAAGAAAGAUCCGCCCAGCCACCUGGGUCCCUCACUAGGCAGGUACUAGACGUUGUAAGACCUGUGGGCCCAAAUAGGAAAAGGGGAGGAGUGCGGGCCUCUGGACCAAGAGUGGGCUACCUCUGAUCCCAUAACAGGCUCCCUGUAGCUGGGCUGGUGAUCUGGGGUGCUCUGAGGUGAGAGGACAUCCUCAUGGCCAGGGCGCGGCUAUGGCAGGUAAAUGAGUCAAUAAGGCAGAGGUGUCAGGCCGAGGCUGGUCUCUUAGGACAUCUUUGUAAACAGCUAGCCUGUCUCUGCUGCUGUCUCACUCCGACCUGCUGUUGCAGAUGGCAUCUUUCUAGUCCCUCCCCCAAAGGAUGUGGGCUUAAAAAAGCAUUACUUAGAAUGACUGAAUGCACGGAAGUGAAUAUUCCUGCUGCUCCCAGGACUUGAAGGAGGUGGCUGUCUUUUUUGUUUUUUGUUCUUUUUGGCUGCACGGCACGUGGGAUAUCAGUUCCCUGACCAGGGAUCGAAGCCGUGCCCACUGCAGUGGAACCGCAGAGUCUUAACCACUGGACCGCCAGGGAAGUCCUGGAGGUGGCUGUCUUAAUGAACACAUGCUCCAAACCACAAGACGUGUCGGGCUCUGUUCACUGUUGUUUUUGCUUGGAGCCUUAACUCCUUUGGAAGUCGAGACAAAUUGGAGAACCCUGGGAAAAGAGGUCUGGUGCCCUCUAGAAGAAAAGGCAGUGCAAUACCAUCCUGACAGUUAUUUAUCCUCUGUUUUGCUGGUAACCACUCACAAAGUAAUAAAGACAGAAGAGACAAAGUAGGAGGGCUAAGGAGGUGAGGUGUGCUCUCAGGUGGAGGAGGAAACAUAUCCUUUCUCUCACCCAUCCGUGAGACCCAGUCUCUCCUUAGGGACGUAGCCGAAGAGCCAAAUGAAAAAAGGGCUCUCUGGCUGUAUAGAACCUGGGGGACAGUGAGCUCCACCUAGCAGGGAAUGUAAUUAAUCAAUUGACUGCCAUACUAUGGGAUGGGAAAAUGGUGUCCCUACUGAAGUAUCUCACGCAAUUAGUGCAGAAGCUAGGAAUGGUCCCAGAGGAGGCCUUGGAGAUAGAUAGAUAGAUAGAUAGAUAGAUAGACAGAGAGAUAGAUAGAUAGAUAGAUAAGUAGGUAGAUACGUUGUUGAUGUGGAUUUUUAUUUCUUAGAAGGCUGCCCACCCUACGUUAAGCCUCAUAGUGAUCCUGGGCAAACUCUUAAAGGAAAACAUUAGCCUCCAACAGCUGGGGAUGUUGGGAUGGGCUUAUCAGGCGACAGAUGGCAUGCAGCCUGGUGAUUUGCCAAGUCUCGAGGAGGCUGAGUUUUGUCCUGAGUCCACCAAGUUGUUUCUCAGGGGGUGCUCCUGAAAAGUGUAAGUCCUCUUUCCUGACAGUGAUGGCUCAUCCUGAGACAGUUCAAGAGGACAUAGCUGCCCUGGAUUUAACAGAAACUCACGAAAGACAAAUUCAAAGUCAAGUGCUGCCUGUUAACAAUACCCCACCUGGCCUAAAUCAAAAUUACUCUCCAUAGAGCGAUUGCCCCCUUCCUCGGCCAAAUAAACCACUUAAAACCAGGCCCCCUCUUAAGCGUGAACCCUGAAAUGAACUAGAGACGUUGCUUGUAUUGGACCCUAAGGGACAAGGAGCCCAGAGAUAUUAGAUGAUCUCUGGUAAAUCUGUGGAGCAAUUAAAAUAUUUACUAAAGUCAGACUCCAACCUGGCCAGGCUUUUCCUUCAGAGACAACCUUACCUUCCAUGUCUGCCCCUGACCUCUGCCAGUGGCAAGGACCUGCUCCCACAUCAGGACCCAUUGGCCUCAAAGCAGGCCUCUUCUGGCCGACAGUAGCCCUUUUACCACGUGAACUGUAAACUAUUAACAACACUGGCUGGCUCUGGUGGACACAGGUGUCCAAAGCUCCCUAAUCCCAGGAAGCACUCAUACUUUAAAGUGCCGCCCCCCUCCCCCCACCAGGAGAUGCCGGGCUUUGGAGGAGAAUUAAUUGAAGGGAUCAUUAUCUGCUUAGCUUUUUUUUUUUUUAACUUUCUGUGUGGCGUGCGGGAUUUUAGUUCUCCAACCAGUGAUCGAACCCACGCCCCCUGCAGUGGACGUGCGGAGUCGACCGCUGGACCGCCAGGGAAGUCCCAUCUGCUUAGCUUUUAAUAUGGGCUUAGUUUUGCUAAAAGAUGCUUCUGCGCUGGUUGUUCUCUGAGGCUCUUUGCCCAUUACUGGAAUGGACUUCCUCAGUCAGCAGGUAACCUCAUGAAACAAGCCUAAGGUUUCGAUGCCACUGGUGGGCGCUGGCCAGUGGGAACCAGUUCACCUUGCUCUACCCGUGUAAGAGGUACUGAGUAAAAGGAAAGCACUGAAGGAUUAUGGCCUGUCCUAGCUGACUUAGUUAAAGAAAGGAAUGGAUUCCCACCUUUCAGUUCUCUGGUAUGGCCUGUGCUUAAAGCCACUUCUAAUGAGUACAGGCUGUCUGUAGACUAGAGAGAGUUAAACAAGGCUGCUCCCUGUAUUAGAGCCCCUCUACCAUGAAUUGUUCCCUUAAUGAAUGACAUUCAGAAUAACACUGGUAAAUGGUUCAGAGUCAUAGACUGGGCUAACAUGUUCUCUUUGUUAAAUAUCACACUUUGCCUUCCCCUUGGAGGAUCAACAGUACACCUUUUUCCCAGUGACCUGUGGGGUACAUGAAUGCCCCCGUGAUUUCCCGUGGGAUUUGCAUUCGGGACCUAGAUGCUUGCUCGGCACCAGCCACCUCCUGCAGAGACUCAGCUCUGGCAUUGUAUCGAUGAUAUCCUGGUCACUGGACCUGGACAAGACUCUGUGUCACACACCAUCACAGCUAAAACCCGGAGCUGAGCCACUUCCUUCGUGAUCCUGAUGAGAACCUGACGUGGACCAGUGAUUCUGAAACCAUCCUUAGCCUGUGUUCGUUCGUCAUCCAGUAUAAGCCAAGCAAACUACCCACCACUUUCUGGAGAAAGAGGUGUCCUUAUCUGCCAUCCCUGUACUUUGCUCCACUAAAGGCACUGUGGAACCCAGGGGGUGGAGCGAAACCUCUCCCAGACCAGAAGUAAGAAGACUCAUUUAUCUUACAAAUAAAGGACAUGAUAAAUCAACAAGCAGCACAGGAAAUUAUUCUGAUAAGACACAGAAUCUCUGCUUUCUACGGAGAUUACUUAGGAGGUAAGGAAAAACCUAUUAUAAUCUCUUAUUAAGAGCAAACCUAAGAGGGUUUUGUCUUAGCAGCUUUCAAAUAUACAAUCUAGUGUUAUUAACUAUAGUCAUCAUGCUGUACAUUACAUCCCCAUGCCUUAUUUAUUUUAUAACUAAG